GUCCCUUCAGCAGGACAUAUACUAAAAUUGGAAAGAUACAGAGAAGAUUAGCAUGGCCCCUCUGCAAGGAUGACAUGUAAAUUCGUGAACGUUCCAUAUUUUU